CCCUCGCGCUCAUUUUGAUAACACCAACGCCCUCUCGCUUUCUGUCGUUUCUGCUCAUCGCAUAAUGCUGAUCACCCAACGCAGUGUAUCUCUACAAUGAAUCCCCUUUUGAGCGUCUUUUUCGUGUGCCUCGCCAUUUUUGGCCCUUGGGACGGCGUCCAAGGGCUAAUUUGCCAUUCAAAUACCCAAAGUGUCACCAAUCCCAGCGAAAUUGGCGAUCAUGUGAGAAAUUGCACCCACUUAAUGAUACCGCGUGAUGAAUUAGCCUGUAUCACAUUGGACUACGCCGAAAAAUAUUUCAAUGAAUCAAGUGUGAUAAGGGACUGCAGCUUCAGAGGUGCCUGCGGACUUAUGCGAGCGGUCGUAGAGCAUACUAAAAUUGGCACAAUCAAAGCAUGUUUUAUUUGCCGGGAAAAUUUGUGCAAUUCCUAGGUGGUGGUCAAAAACAACACAUAAGAUGAGAAUUGCUCAAAUUCUCAACAUUGUGAUUCAUCGGCAAUUUUAAGAUAAUGGGCCGCAGGUAAUUGGCAAUGUGAAUUAAAUGUACACACACUGCUACGAAGCAUUGCUUUGUUAGAUUUAUUUUUGUAGAAAAUUAUUGUGAAAUUGUUGAUAAUAAAAAUAUGCGAGUGAGGAAACAUUUAGCAAUGAUAAUGCCUGUCUGGA